AUUUGCGCCUUCUCAUUAUGAAGGCGGGAAAUGGAAUGAGGGAGGUGAUUGUGCAAGGACAAGGCCGUAUGGAAGUAAUGAGACUUCGUUGGAGGAUCAAAGCGUGGAGCAAUACAGGAUCCAAGUGGAAGAGUUUGAGGUCGCGGAGAAAGAAGGGAAGAUGAAAGGGAAGAGAUUCAGGUUGAUGGAUACAACGCGAGCCAUGUUGAUGAGACCAGAUGGUCACCCAAGUAAAUAUGGGCAUUGGCCAAAUGAAAAUGUGGCAAAUGACUGUGUGCAUUGGUGCUUGCCUGGUCCUAUUGAUUCUUGGGCUGAUAUUUUGUUUCAUAUGUUCAAGAUGGAGAGCACGAAAUCCCUGGAGGAAAAGCUUGAAUGAGAGAGCCAAAUCAUACAAUGUACUCUGAUUUUUUUAGUUGCUUCAUUUAUUUUUAGAAUGGUUGUGAAUUACAGAGGAACUCUGUUACAUGGAUCGUUUUGGUUGAGUUGCAAAUGUAACUAUAGUACUGUUAGAAAAGUUGGGGCAAAAAAAGCCUUGUUG
rnacentral:misc_RNA from 1 species